rnacentral:ncRNA from 2 species
CAUUACUUUCAGGGCAGGGUGUAAUUCCCUACCGGCGGUAAUCCCCUUAGGGAGAGCCCGCGAGCGCUAUUCAAUGAAUAGGUCAGCAGAUUUGGUUAAAAGCCAGAGCCGACGGUGAUAGUCCGGAUGAAAGAAAGUAGGC